AAUACUAACAGUCUAUACUUAAUGUAAGACCCCUUUUCUUCCCUCUCAACUUUCCCUCCACUCUUUUCUUCCUCUCCAUUCACUCAUUCUCUCCUUGCCUUGUUUUCUUUUCUUUGAUCCUUGGUGGCUAUAGGUGCUGAGCUAGAGUCAGGUGGUGCUAGUUGAGUGUUCGGAACUUUAUCUUCCCCUCCUUCGUUGCUCAAGCUUUGGUGGUAGAGCUGAGUAAGUAGGGUGCAUAGCUGGUGUUCGGAGUUCACUCUUCUCCUUCCGUGGGUGUUCAAACUCUUCUUCCUCUUCUUCUCUUUUGCCCCGGAAGCUCAGAUUUUUCAAACCGAGAGCAGAGAUAGGUGGUGGAUAGUGAUGAGUUGGCAGCGGAUAGAUGGAGCUGAUUUCUAUGGAUGUUUUGUUUGUGUUGGUCACUGGGCAUAAUGACUUUUGAUGUAAUCCUUGUAUUGCAUACACUAACUCUAGUCGGACUUGGGACAUAUGUAUAUAUUUAUAUUCUAGACACUAUAUUUAUAUACUCGUUCUACUCUGCCUAGUGUUUCCGGUGU